CGCGGCCUAUCAGCUUGUUGGUGAGGUAGUGGCUCACCAAGGCGACGACGGGUAGCCGGCCUGAGAGGGCGACCGGCCACACUGGGACUGAGACACGGCCCAGACUCCUACGGGAGGCAGCAGUGGGGAAUAUUGCGCAAUGGGCGAAAGCCUGACGCAGCAACGCCGCGUGCGGGAUGAAGGCCUUCGGGUUGUAAACCGCUUUCAGCAGGGAAGAAGCGAAAGUGACGGUACCUGCAGAAGAAGCACCGGCUAACUACGUGCCAGCAGCCGCGGUAAUACGUAGGGUGCAAGCGUUGUCCGGAUUUAUUGGGCGUAAAGAGCUCGUAGGCGGUUAGUCACGUCGGAUGUGAAAACCCAGUGCUUAACACUGGGCCUGCAUUCGAUACGGGCUGACUAGAGUGUUGUAGGGGAGACUGGAACUCCUGGUGUAGCGGUGAAAUGCGCAGAUAUCAGGAAGAACACCGGUGGCGAAGGCGGUUCUCUGGGCAUUACCUGACGCUGAGGAGCGAAAGUGUGGGGAGCGAACAGGAUUAGAUACCCUGGUAGUCCACACCGUAAACGUUGGGCGCUAGGUGUGGGACUCAUUCCACGAGUUCCGUGCCGCAGCUAACGCAUUAAGCGCCCCGCCUGGGGAGUACGG
rnacentral:rRNA from 1 species